rnacentral:rRNA from 1 species
AGUGAACGCUGGCGGUAGGCCUAACACAUGCAAGUCGAACGGCAGCACAGUAAGAGCUUGCUCUUACGGGUGGCGAGUGGCGGACGGGUGAGGAAUACAUCGGAAUCUACUUUUUCGUGGGGGAUAACGUAGGGAAACUUACGCUAAUACCGCAUACGACCUACGGGUGAAAGCAGGGGAUCUUCGGACCUUGCGCGAUUGAAUGAGCCGAUGUCGGAGUAGCUAGUUGGCGGGGUAAAGGCCCACGAAGGCGACGAUCCGUAGCUGGUCUGGGAGGAUGAUCAGCCGCACUGGAACUGAGCCACGGUCCAGACUCCUACGGUAGGCAGCAGUGGGGUAUAUUGGACAACAGGCGCAAGCCUUGUCCAGUGCUACCGCGUCGGGUGAGAAGGCCUUCGGGUUGUAAAGCCCUUCUGUUGGGUAAGAAAAGCAGCAGGUUAAUACCCCGCUGUUCUGACGGUACCCAAAGAAGAAGCACCGGCUAACUUCGUG